GUGGGGAAUCUUAGACAAUGGGGGCAACCCUGAUCUAGCCAUGCCGCGUGAGUGAUGAAGGCCUUAGGGUCGUAAAGCUCUUUCGCUGGGGAAGAUAAUGACGGUACCCAGUAAAGAAACCCCGGCUAACUCCGUGCCAGCAGCCGCGGUAAUACGGAGGGGGUUAGCGUUGUUCGGAAUUAAUGGGCGUAAAGCGCGCGUAGGCGGAUUGGAAAGUUGGGGGUGAAAUCCAGGGGCUCAACCCUGGAAUGGCCUUCAAAACUCCCAGUCUUGAGGUCGAGAGAGGUGAGUGGAAUUCCGAGUGUAGAGGUGAAAUUCGUAGAUAUUCGGAGGAACACCAGUGGCGAAGGCGGCUCACUGGCUCGAUACUGACGCUGAGGUGCGAAAGCGUGGGGAGCAAACAGGAUUAGAAACCCGUGUAGUCC
rnacentral:rRNA from 1 species